GUGGAUUAGAUACCCUGGUAGUCCACGCCGUAAACGAUGGAUACUAGCUGUUGGAAGCAAUUUCAGUGGCUAAGCGAAAGUGAUAAGUAUCCCACCUGGGGAGUACGUUCGCAAGAAUGAAACUCAAAGGAAUUGACGGGGGCCCGCACAAGCGGUGGAGCAUGUGGUUUAAUUCGAUGAUACGCGAGGAACCUUACCAAGGCUUAAAUGUAGAUUGACCGGUUUGGAAACAGACUUUUCGCAAGACAAUUUACAAGGUGCUGCACGGCCGUCGCCAACU
rnacentral:rRNA from 1 species